rnacentral:snRNA from 1 species
UAAGUGGGAGCUUCGGCG